GUGCUCGGUUUGUAGGCAGUGUAAUUAGCUGAUUGUGCUGUUGUGCUUACAAUCACUAACUCCACUGCCAUCAAAACAAGGCAC
ensembl:miRNA MIR34B microRNA 34b